ACCAACUCGUAAUUUGCAUCUUGCUACGGUUUUAUCGUACAAAAGAAUAAAAAAAAAAAAAAAUAAAAGAAGGAAUGAAUGAAUAAAAGAAAUCAUUCGACUACGAUCCCGUAACCUUUCUGUUUGUAAAUCCGAUUUACCCAAAGUGUAUGUGUGUGUGUGUGUGUGUACGUGUGUAAUGUCUACAAGAGAUAAGAAGAUCAGAUAAGUAUCGCCUUGCACGUUUGAAAACAACAAGAACAACCAACCAACAACCAUGGAAUUUGAGAUUAACCUACGUCAAAAAUACAAAAGGAAUAAUUUAAAACUGCUAAACGAGCUACACUUGCCAAGGAAGAAACCGAGAAAUCCACUGCAAUGCGCCCACGCGUCGGCUAAAACUCUUGGCGCGACCUCACGAUUUAAUUAGCUCCCAGAUACCUUCCCCUUUUCAUCCCCUACACCCCUUAUUCUCUAAAUUCUACCUUCAUACUUUCCUUUCCAUCUUCCUCUUACCGCCCAAACUCAAAUCUCCGUUUACAAACUGCCAUAUUAUUCUUAUUUUUCUUUCUCUAUCUCUCCUUUCUUCUUUUUCUA